rnacentral:rRNA from 1 species
AGUGAACGCUGGCGGUAGGCCUAACACAUGCAAGUCGAACGGCAGCACAGUAAGAGCUUGCUCUUACGGGUGGCGAGUGGCGGACGGGUGAGGAAUACAUCGGAAUCUACUUUUUCGUGGGGGGUAACGUAGGGAAACUUACGCUAAUACCGCAUACGACCUACGGGUGAAAGCAGGGGAUCUUCGGACCUCGCGCGAUUGAAUGAGCCGAUGUCGGAUUAGCUAGUUGGCGGGGUAAAGGCCCACCAAGGCGACGAUCCGUAGCUGGUCUGAGAGGAUGAUCAGCCACACUGGAACUGAGACACGGUCCAGACUCCUACGGGAGGCAGCAGUGGGGAAUAUUGGACAAUGGGCGCAAGCCUGAUCCAGCCAUACCGCGUGGGUGAAGAAGGCCUUCGGGUUGUAAAGCCCUUUUGUUGGGAAAGAAAAGCAGCAGGUUAAUACCCCGCUGUUCUGACGGUACCCAAAGAAUAAGCACCGGCUAACUUCGUGC